CGACGCUGGCGGCGUGCUUAACACAUGCAAGUCGAACGGGGCUAUUAGAAGCUUGCUUUAAGAGCCUAGUGGCAAACGGGUGAGUAACGCGUAGGCAACCUGCCUCUAAGAUGGGGACAACAGCCCGAAAGGGCUGCUAAUACCGAAUGUUGUAUCUUUUCCCGCAUGGGAGAGAUAUUAAAGAUGGCCUCUACUUGUAAGCUAUCACUUAGAGAUGGGCCUGCGUCUGAUUAGCUAGUUGGUGGGGUAACGGCUCACCAAGGCGACGAUCAGUAGCCGGUCUGAGAGGAUGAACGGCCACAUUGGGACUGAGACACGGCCCAGACUCCUACGGGAGGCAGCAGUGGGGAAUCUUCCGCAAUGGGCGAAAGCCUGACGGAGCAACGCCGCGUGAGUGAAGAAAGGUCUUCGGAUCGUAAAGCUCUGUCGAAGGGGACGAACGUAGUGCUUAUCAACAACGAGCGCUAAUGACGGUACCUUUCAAGAAAGCCACGGCUAACUACGUGCCAGCAGCGGC
rnacentral:rRNA from 1 species